rnacentral:misc_RNA from 1 species
GAAAAAUAGCCAGCCUGCUGGCAUAUAAUUCUAUCCCACCUUGUGUGCAAGCAAUGGAAAAGAAAAGAGAGAAUAUUGGAUAGCUUUUUUGUAUCCAACCUCUCUAAAGUUUUUUACAAACUCCAUCAAAUUUUGAAAUGAAAACUAUUUUUUUUAACAAAAAUAUUAUA